GGGAUAUUGGACAAUGGGGGGAACCCUGAUCCAGCGACGCCGCGUGAGUGAAGAAGUAUCUCGGUAUGUACUGCUCUAUCAGCAGGGAAGAAAGAAAUGACGGUACCUGACUAAGCAUCCCCGGCUAACUACGUUCCCGCAGCCGCGGUAAUACGUAGGGGGCAAGCGUUAUCCGGAUUUACUGGGUGUAAAGGGAGCGUAGACGGUUAUGCAAGUCUGAAGUGAAAGGCGGGGGCCCAACCCCCGGACUGCUUUGGAAACUGUAAAACUGGAGUGCAGGAGAGGUAAGUGGAAUUCCUAGUGUAGCGGUGAAAUGCGUAGAUAUUAGGAGGAACACCAGUGGCGAAGGCGGCUUACUGGACUGUAACUGACGUUGAGGCUCGAAAGCGUGGGGAGCAAACAGG
rnacentral:rRNA from 1 species